GAUUUCUGCUUCGACACGCCUGGCCCGUGUGGAUUUCCGCAUGUGUGCCGGGUGGUGUUAGGCAUCCUUCCAGAACCGGUCAUCGCUAUUUCGGUAGUGUGUGGCUCGAAUCUGGAUCUUUUACUUUGAAAAAAUUAGAGUGUUCAAGGCAGGCUUUUGCUGUGAAUAUUGUAGCAUGGAAUAAUAACUUAGGACAUUCGUUCUAUUUUGUUGGUUUCGCGUACGAAUGUAAUGAUUGAUAGGGAUAGUUGGGGGUGCUGGUAUUCACUGGCCAGAGGUGAAAUUCUUGGAUUCAGUGAAGACCAACUUAUGCGAAAGCAUU
rnacentral:rRNA from 1 species